UACAGAGGGUGCUAGCGUUAAUCGGAUUUACUGGGCGUAAAGCGUGUGUAGGCGGUUUGUUAAGUCGGGUGUGAAAUCCCUGGGCUCAACCUGGGAAUUGCAUUCGAUACUGGCAAGCUAGAGUACGGUAGAGGGCGGCGGAAUUCCGGGUGUAGCGGUGAAAUGCGUAGAUAUCCGGAGGAACACCUAUGGCGAAGGCAGCUCUCUGGGACGGUACUGACGCUGAGACGCGAAAGCGUGGGGAGCGAACAGG
rnacentral:rRNA from 1 species